rnacentral:rRNA from 1 species
AAAUUGAAGAGUUUGAUCAUGGCUCAGAUUGAACGCUGGCGGCAGGCCUAACACAUGCAAGUCGAACGGUAACAGGAAGCAGCUUGCUGCUUCGCUGACGAGUGGCGGACGGGUGAGUAAUGUCUGGGAAGCUGCCUGAUGGAGGGGGAUAACUACUGGAAACGGUAGCUAAUACCGCAUAAUGUCGCAAGACCAAAGAGGGGGACCUUCGGGCCUCUUGCCAUCGGAUGUGCCCAGAUGGGAUUAGCUUGUUGGUGGGGUAACGGCUCACCAAGGCGACGAUCCCUAGCUGGUCUGAGAGGAUGACCAGCCACACUGGAACUGAGACACGGUCCAGACUCCUACGGGAGGCAGCAGUGGGGAAUAUUGCACAAUGGGCGCAAGCCUGAUGCAGCCAUGCCGCGUGUAUGAAGAAGGCCUUCGGGUUGUAAAGUACUUUCAGCGGGGAGGAAGGGAGUAAAGUUAAUACCUUUGCUCAUUGACGUUACCAGCAGAAGAAGCACCGGCUAACUCCGUGCCAGCAGCCGCGGUAAUACGGAGGGUGCAAGCGUUAAUCGGAAUUACUGGGCGUAAAGCGCACGCAGGCGGUUUGUUAAGUCAGAUGUGAAAUCCCCGGGCUCAACCUGGGAACUGCAUCUGAUACUGGCAAGCUUGAGUCUCGUAGAGGGGGGU